GUAAACGGCGGCCGUAACUAUAACGGUCCUAAGGUAGCGAAAUUCCUUGUCGGGUAAGUUCCGACCUGCACGAAUGGUGUAACGAUUUGGAUACUGUCUCAGCCAUGAGCUCGGUGAAAUUGUAGUUCCGGUGAAGAUGCCGGAUACCCGCCGCGGGACGGAAAGACCCCGUGAACCUUUACUACAGCUUAACCUUGUUUACGCCUAUUGGAUGCGUAGGAUAGGUGGGAGACUAUGAAGGGGUGUCUUUGGGCAUCUUGGAGUCGUUGUUGAAAUACCACCCUUCUGAUAGGUGUACUCUAACCCUUUCUUAGGGGACAUGGUUUGGUAGGUAGUUUGACUGGGGUGGUCGCCUCCAAAAAUGUAACGGAGGCUUUCCAAGGUUCCCUCAGGACGGUCGGUAAUCGUCCGAAGAAUGCAAUGGUAUAAGGGAGCUUGACUGAGAGACUAACAAGUCGAGCAGGUGCGAAAGCAGGACAUAGUGAUCCGGUAGUUCUGUAUGGACGGGCUAUCGCUCAAAGGAUAAAAGGUACUCCGGGGAUAACAGGCUGAUCUCCCCCAAGAGCUCAUAUCGACGGGGAGGUUUGGCACCUCGAUGUCGGCUCGUCACCUCCUGGGGCUGGAGAAGGUCCCAAGGGUUGGGCUGUUCGCCCAUUAAAGUGGCACGCGAGCUGGGUUCAGAACGUCGUGAGACAGUUCGGUCCCUAUCUGCGGUGGGCGUAGGAAGUUUGAAGCACGCUAACUUUAGUACGAGAGGACCGAGUGGGACAAGCCGCUGGUGUAUCUGUUGUCUUGCCGCAGGCACAGCAGAGUAGCUACGCUUGGACUGGAGAAGCACUGAAAGCAUCUAAGUGCGAAACCACUGCUAAGAUGAGACUUCCAUAUAAGGGGCGUUGGAGAUGACAACGUUGAUAGGCGGUAGGUGUAGCGUCUGAGAGGACGAAGCUGAGCCGUACUAAUUCCCCAAAAGCUUACAAGU
rnacentral:rRNA from 1 species